UGUGCCAAGCACCCACAUGUCUUGCUUUGCCCAGGACAAUCCAGGUUUACAUCUUUUGCUGUGACAAGAUUAUUAAUAGUGCCUCCUUUAACUCUCAAAGGCAUCUCAGCUUGGACGAUAAAUAAUAUGGUCAUCUUACUUGUAAUCUUCUUUUCACAAACUGCCUUACAACCUAUGCUGGAGCCCCAUGAGAUUCCCCUC
rnacentral:lncRNA from 1 species